AGCGAAUCAGUCUGCCUCCAGCUGUGGUGGGGUGAGGACGUACGGUGCGCCCAGCUCCUUGUGAUGAGUGGUGGACGGAACUUACAUAGCAAAAUACACCUCUACUGUGUUUUAACCGAUACCAAAAAGUGAUUAAAGUGUCUUAGUGGAUAAAAACGUGAUUAAUCUUCGCCUCAACGACAGGAAUAAGGAAAAUUAUGACGUCAACGCUUGCGAAAGAGGAAAUAAAAAAAAUAUAAAUUUUUUUCAAAGUUUAAAAAUAAUUAAAACAAAUUGUGAAUUGUUUUGAAAAUGGUAACACCUUUGACCUCUGGAUAACGUUCAGAUGGAUAAGUAUGGUGAUUGUAGGUUAACGUUCGGAUAAAUUACUAAACCGUGGAUAACGUCUGGAUAUAUGUGAAGUUGUGAAUACAGUGUGGAAAAUUUAGUGUUGGUCAAAGCCUGGAUAAGUUGUGAUAAUCUGGAUAAAUAAGUGUUGGAUAAGCUUAACUAAGUGAUGGAUAACGCCUAGAAAAGUUUUACUGAUGGUGGAUAAAAUCUGGAUAUAUCUAGUGAAAUGGAUAACGUCUGGAUAAGUUUAGUGAGAUGGAAAAUGUUUGGAUAAGUUGAGUUAUGGGUAACGUCUGGAUAAUUUUAGUGAGUGAUGGGUAACGUCUGGAUAAUUUUAGUGAGUGAUGGAUAACGUCUGAAUAAUUUAAUGGGUGGUGGAUAAAAUCUGGAUAUAUCUAAUGAGUGAUGGAAACGCCUGGAUAAAUUUAGUGCGUGAUGCAUAACGCCUGGAUAAAUUUAGUGCGUGAUGCAUAACGCCUGGAUAAGUUUAGUGUGUAGUGGAUAACGUCUGGAUAAGUUUAGUGAGUGUUGGAAACUCCUGGAUACAUUUAGUGUGUGAUGGAUAACGCCUGGAUAAAUUUAGUGCGAGAUGGAUAACGCCUGGCUAAGUUUAGUGUGUAGUGGAUAUCGCCUGGAUAAGUUUAGUGAGAUGGAAAACGUCUGGAUAAGUUUAGUGAGUGUUGGAUAAAGUCAAGAGUAAACAAGUGAUAGAUAUAGUGAGGAUAAAGUUCAGGCAUAUCCAGUGAAAAUAUGGAUAAAGUCGAGAUAUAUCCAAUAAAAGCGGGAUAAAGACUGGAUAAUGGAUAUAUGUAGCGAGUGAUGGAUAAAGUCCUAAUAUAUUUAAUACAGGGAUAAAGUUGUUAAUAUUAGUGGAUUAUGGAUAAAGUCUGGAUUAAAUUAAUGAGUGAAAAUAUAUGAAGUGAAUAAUGGAUAAAAAUCCAUAAAUAUUCCAAAAAGUCGGAUAAGUCCGGAUAUAAUCAAUAAAAGAUAAGGUAAAAUCCAACUUUAUUCAACGAGUGAAGGAUAUCCGGAUUAUUAAUGAACGUUGGAUAAAGUCCAGAUAAAGUCAGGAUGUACACAUUAAGUCCUGGAUAGUGGUUGAAAAAGUCCAAUUAGUCGGUUAAUUAUUUUCAAUUACCGAAAUAUUGAAAUUAAUUGUUACAUACAGAAUUACGGAAAAACAGCAUUACAUCUCUGAAUCAAUUCCGGUUAAACGAAUUCCGGAUUAUCGGAUUUUUUGGAGUUCGGUUUAAGAAUAUGUUCGAGUUAGCGUUCAGACGUUAACCUCUGCUCGAAAUACGAUGUAAAUAAGUCGAAAUAAGACGAAAGAAGUCGAAAUAAAACGAAUUAAGACAAAUUAAGUUGGAAUACAGUAAGUCGAAAUAAGAAAGUGAAAAUAAGACGAAAUAAGUAAAAA